UCCUCCCACCACCCCACGCUCUCAUUUCUUCUUAAGCUUAAAAAGCCCAGUACCAGAGUCUUAUCUGCAUUUUUUUUAUCAAACUUCACAUCAAAACAAUUGUUAUCUUCAUCAGAAGCCAUGGUCUCCACUCCAUAUUGUCUCCUGCUAGUACUUCUGGGACUCUCCUGCCUUCAGUCCAGCACAACGGCACAAAAUGCAAACGGGGCAUCAGUAUGCUGUUUUGAAUUCCACAAAAUACCAUUCCCUGCAGGAAAAGUUGCCUCAUACCAAGAUACAAGAAUUGACUGUCCAAUUCCUGGAGUCAUUUUUACGACAAAAAAGGAUUUUCGUUUUUGUGCCGAGCCGGAGGUAGACUGGGU